rnacentral:lncRNA from 1 species
ACAGGAAAUGCCAUGUGAGAACACAUUAGCAAAGGAAGCAUUUAUUUCCAAGCUUGGUAUCCCAAGGAAUGGUAUAGAUGAAUGUAUAUGAAUCUUCCAUUGGCAUUCCCUCACCCAAGGCUGUAUGGAUCACAGACAGCUUAUUAAACAAGAUACGAAAGCAAAUGGUGGUAUUUUAGAAGACAUCUUUCUAGCACUCCAAAGUCAUGGAUUCCUAGGAUUAAAAGUGUCCUUGAGAGGUCAUUCUGGUUAACCUCUGUAGAUUCAGUUUCAUUCAAUAAACGCAAUGAGCCCCUAGAAUGUGACAGGCAUCAGGCUAGGAUUAUUGGUGGGGGCAUGUGUGUUUGGGACAUAGGCUUAUGAAAAAAAGAAAAAGAAGAAAAUAUCUGCCAUCAAGGAGUUUAUAUGCUGGUGGAAGAGCUAUUUGGGUACCCUUAGACUGAGGCAAGUGCGACGAGGUCGAUGUGAAUAAAAUACUCUAGGAGCAGUUUAGGAGGAGAACAUGUUAUUAGCCUGGGCAGCAGGGACCCAUUCAUAAAGAUGAGCUCAUUUUCAUUUCACUCAUUGAUCAAAAUCUAUUGACCAUCUUCUAUUUGCCAAAACCCUGUGCUAAGCAUUUUGGGGAUGCUAAAUACAAUAAUCAUGAUGCCCUCAUAGGCCCAAAGUCUAACAAAGAUGGCUGGAAAUUGCAGUGUCGUAAGUAUUCUUAAAUGUUGUUGUGUUUCCCUUCUUCAGAUAGACCUAUGUGUAGCUGCCCUGGAAUGCCUGUGGGAAGAGAUGACCCAAUACAAGCGAGAGAAUUGCCCAAUUUUGGAUUCCUCUUUCUCAAGUUGGAAAGAUAAGUGAU